rnacentral:rRNA from 1 species
CCCCUAGAUGUUCUGGGCCGCACGCGCGCUACACUGAACAGUUCAACAAGUCUUAACCUUGGCCGAUAGGUCUGGGUAAUCUUUGAACGCUGUUCGUGACUGGGAUAGACCUUUGCAAUUAUGGGUCUUCAACGAGGAAUUCCUAGUAAACGCAAGUCAUCAGCUUGCAUUGAUUACGUCCCUGCCCUUUGUACACACCGCCCGUCGCACCUACCGAUUGAAUGGUCCGGUGAAAUCUCGGGACGGCGGCUUGGUCGCUUGCGUCCGACUGCUGAAACUUGAUUAAACCAUNUNAUUUAGNGGAAGGUGAANUCGUANCA